UUGGCCUCAGCGCGUGGAUUUUCGUGUACAGAUUUUCGUGAGACUCCUUACUCGUGGAAUAAAGACCCUUCGCCACAAGAGUUGUUGGUAAUGUUAUGCCC